UGGGGAAUAUUGGACAAUGGGGGGAACCCUGAUCCAGCCAUGCCGCGUGUGUGAAGAAGGCCUUAUGGUUGUAAAGCACUUUAAGCGAGGAGGAGGGUACUGGUAUUAAUACUACCAGCUACUGGACGUUACUCGCAGAAUAAGCACCGGCUAACUCUGUGCCAGCAGCCGCGGUAAUACAGAGGGUGCGAGCGUUAAUCGGAUUUACUGGGCGUAAAGCGUGCGUAGGCGGCUAAUUGAGUCGGAUGUGAAAUCCCCGAGCUUAACUUGGGAAUUGCAUUCGAUACUGGUUAGCUAGAGUGUGGGAGAGGAUGGUAGAAUUCCAGGUGUAGCUGUGAAAUGCGUAGAGAUCUGGAGGAAUACCGAUGGCGAAGGCAGCCAUCUGGCCUAACACUGACGCUGAGGUACGAAAGCAUGGGGAGCAAACAGG
rnacentral:rRNA from 1 species